UGAACAGGGCAUGUUGUUGUGCUGCGAGCGUUGCUCUAUCAAGCCUGUUAUUACUUUGUGGAUCUGAUGCAGAAGUAGAUAAGGCCCCAGCAGGCAAAUGCACACACGUGCGUGCAUAUUUGGCGAAUCUCCCUGCAUACAUACAUACAUAUGUGCGGCCAAAUCUGCCAGGGAAAAGAAAACCUUGGUUAUUUCAUACCCUGGAUAAACUCUAAACAAAAUCGUACUUUAAUUUGGACCAAAUUGGAACGUUGUUGCCAAUCUGCGCCGAUCAAAUCAUCAUCAUUUUAUAGACUUCUGUCGAUUUUAAAGUCUCACGAAUCCUUAAAGCCUAAUCUGCCGACGUUCAUGGACCACAUAUAAUCAACAAAUAAUUAUGUUGAUUUUAGAUCGAUGGAAACAGUUUCCGCUCAUUUAUUCCAUCUCCUCGGUACCCAAUGUGGCACUGGUGUCGACACCUUCUGGAUAAUGAUACUCGGCGAAUCGCUGGCCAUCGCCCAGGACAGCUACGCGGUGCUCUGGCUUAAGGGCAAGGAACGUUUUAAAGCACAUGGAGAUCAUUUGAUCAGCAAGUGAUCGCUACUCAUGGUACCUAGUUGACCAAUAUAUAUCCUUGGUUAAUGCAUAUCACGGAUGUAGUCCUAGCGAACCUAAAGGACCAAGUUCUUGCAAAACAGGGUCCAUAAAUAUGUAUGCCCUUCUUUUACAGCCGGCCGCCGCAACAGUCCCGCCCCUGGAUGGUUUCUAGUUGACUAGCAUAUCCUUGGUUAUGCCAUACCAUCGAUAUAGUCCUUUGGAACCUACAGGAUCAGAUCACUGCAAAAUGUGCAUUGAAAUGGUCCAAAAAUAUGUAUGCUUUCUCUUUCAGGAGCCCUUUUACAUUAGCUGCGGCUGCAGCUCUUGCUUAACAGCCGGCUUACAGCGCUCAUUUAACAUAAAAUGCUAAUUAACAGCACUCA